UACGUAGGGGGCAAGCGUUGUCCGGAUUUAUUGGGCGUAAAGAGCUCGUAGGCGGUUUGGCAAGUCACGUGUGAAAUCUCCACGCUCAACGUGGAGGGGUCACGUGAGACUGCUAUGACUAGAGUCCGGUAGGGGAGUGUGGAAUUCCCGGUGUAGCGGUGAAAUGCGCAGAGAUCGGGAGGAACACCCGUAGCGAAGGCGGCACUCUGGGCCGGUACUGACGCUGAGGAGCGAAAGCGUGGGGAGCAAACAGG
rnacentral:rRNA from 1 species